UUCCUACGGGGGGCAGCAGUGAGGAAUAUUGGUCAAUGGUCGGGAGACUGAACCAGCCAAGCCGCGUGAGGGAUGAAGGUACAGAGUAUCGUAAACCUCUUUUGUCAGGGAGCAAAAAGCGGUACGUGUACCGCAUCGAGAGUACCCGGAGAAAAAGCAUCGGCUAACUCCGUGCCAGCAGCCGCGGUAAUACGGAGGAUGCGAGCGUUAUCCGGAUUUAUUGGGUUUAAAGGGUGCGCAGGCGGCGAGUUAAGUCAGCGGGAAAAUUUCGGGGCUCAACCCCGACGAGCCGGUGAAAC
rnacentral:rRNA from 1 species